CCUACGGGGGGCUGCAGUGGGGAAUAUUGGACAAUGGGGGGAACCCUGAUCCAGCCAUGCCGUGUGUGUGAAGAAGGCCCUCGGGUUGUAAAGCACUUUCAGUGAGGAAGAACGCCUGGUGGUUAAUACCCAUCAGGAAAGACAUCACUCACAGAAGAAGCACCGGCUAACUCCGUGCCAGCAGCCGCGGUAAUACGGAGGGUGCGAGCGUUAAUCGGAAUUACUGGGCGUAAAGCGCGCGUAGGUGGCUUGAUAAGCCGGUUGUGAAAGCCCCGGGCUCAACCUGGGAACGGCAUCCGGAACUGUCAAGCUAGAGUGCAGGAGAGGAAGGUAGAAUUCCCGGUGUAGCGGUGAAAUGCGUAGAGAUCGGGAGGAAUACCAGUGGCGAAGGCGGCCUUCUGGACUGACACUGACACUGAGGUGCGAAAGCGUGGGUAGCAAACAGGAUUAGAUACCCUAGUAGUC
rnacentral:rRNA from 1 species